CCUACGGGUGGCUGCCGUGGGGAAUAUUGGACAAUGGGGGGAACCCUGAUCCAGCCAUGCCGCGUGUGUGAAGAAGGCCCUCGGGUUGUAAAGCACUUUCAGUGAGGAAGAACGCCUGGUGGUUAAUACCCAUCAGGAAAGACAUCACUCACAGAAGAAGCACCGGCUAACUCCGUGCCAGCAGCCGCGGUAAUACGGAGGGUGCGAGCGUUAAUCGGAAUUACUGGGCGUAAAGCGCGCGUAGGUGGCUUGAUAAGCCGGUUGUGAAAGCCCCGGGCUCAACCUGGGAACGGCAUCCGGAACUGUCAAGCUAGAGUGCAGGAGAGGAAGGUAGAAUUCCCGGUGUAGCGGUGAAAUGCGUAGAGAUCGGGAGGAAUACCAGUGGCGAAGGCGGCCUUCUGGACUGACACUGACACUGAGGUGCGAAAGCGUGGGUAGCAAACAGGAUUAGAUACCCGUGUAGUC
rnacentral:rRNA from 1 species